UAUUAUUAACAAAUAAUUAUAGCGAAUAUAUUAUUUCUUUAAUAGUGGUUGAAUCAAACGUUUAUUAAAUUUUUAAAUGAAUGGGAGCAAGCCAGUCAAAAUGUUAAAAAUUUAUCGAUAAAAGAAAAAGCCAAACUUUGCUUGAGUAAACAAACCCUAGAAGGGUUCAGAAUUACAGUGCACUCAUUUACUGACCUUGGUUCAACUCUUUUACAAGAAGAAGGUGUAGAGUACUUACUUUCAGAAAAGUUCAGUCAAGAUCCUGUAGAGGAAUACUUUUCCAAGCAGCGAAGAAGAGGGGGAGGAAACGAAAAUCCUUGUUUAGAAGAAUUUAAUCGUAACUUUCUAGGUUUAAAUAUUGCUGGCGACAAUCUCAUUCGAGCCUUAAAUGGAAAUUAUAGAGGAAGAUUUCAGGAAGAUCUAAAAAUUGAUGUUACUGACACCAUGCAUCUGCCGAAGAAAAAGCCGAAAAAAUAUUGAUUUUAUUUAUUUAAAAACAGUUACAUGUUAUUUCAUUUCUUUUUUUUUAAUUGAGUUUUAAAUAA